GUAUUAUCCUGAUGAUGAUAUUACAGAGAUGGGACGUCCGGGCCAACAAACGUGAAUGAAACCAAAAAUAAGUAGCUGAGGAGAUCCAGUGAGCGUGAGCACGAGAACUUCCUGUUCCCUAAUAUCAGGGGUUUGUUAAUGUUUUCUAAGUCAUUUCUCCCUACUUGAUUUUUCUUUUAUAAAAUUCCACAGAACCGUGUUUAUGAUACAGCCGUUUAAUAUAUGUACAAAUUGUAAAGAACAUGUAUAAAUAUUUUACAUAAAUGUAAGAGCAUGUAGAAGCCAAUAUAUAAAUAAAUUGUUUUUAAAAACUGUAAAAAAAAAA
rnacentral:lncRNA from 1 species